GUUUGGCCUGCCCAAUGAGUAGUUUAAUGGCUGCAGUAUUUUAACUGUACAAAGGUAGCAUAAUCAUUUGUUUUUUAAUUGAAAGCUUGAAUGAAAGGUUAGAUGAAAAAAUUUCUGUCUCUGGAAAAAUUAAUUAAAAUUUUAUUUUUGAGUGAAAAAGCUUAAAUAAAAAUAGAAGACGAGAAGACCCUAUAGAGUUUUAUAUUUAUUAGAUUAACUAUAUUUUAGGUAUUAAAGGUUUGUUAUUAUAGUAAGUAUUUUGUUGGGGUGAUAAGAAAAUUUAAAAAACUUUUUUUAAUAAUUUCACUAAUUUGUGUAUUAAUGAUCCUAACUGUUUAGAUUAAAAGAUUAAAUUACCUUAGGGAUAACAGCGUAAUUUUUUCUAGAGUUCUUAUCGAAGAAAAAGAUUGCGACCUCGAUGUUGGAUUAAAAUAAAUUGCUGGCGAAGGUGCUAGUUAAUUAGGUCUGUUCGACCUUUAAAAUUUUACAUGAUCUGAGUUUAAACCGGUGUGAG
rnacentral:rRNA from 1 species